rnacentral:rRNA from 1 species
AGCGAACGCUGGCGGCAGGCUUAACACAUGCAAGUCGAGCGGGCGUAGCAAUACGUCAGCGGCAGACGGGUGAGUAGCGCGUGGGAACAUACCUUUUGGUUCGGAACAACACAGGGAAACUUGUGCUAAUACCGGAUAAGCCCUUACGGGGAAAGAUUUAUCGCCGAAAGAUUGGCCCGCGUCUGAUUAGCUAGUUGGUGAGGUAACGGCUCACCAAGGCGACGAUCAGUAGCUGGUCUGAGAGGAUGAUCAGCCACAUUGGGACUGAGACACGGCCCAAACUCCUACGGGAGGCAGCAGUGGGGAAUAUUGGACAAUGGGCGCAAGCCUGAUCCAGCCAUGCCGCGUGAGUGAUGAAGGCCCUAGGGUUGUAAAGCUCUUUUGUGCGGGAAGAUAAUGACGGUACCGCAAGAAUAACGCCCCGGCUAACUUCGUGCCAGCAGCCGCGGUAAC